GUACGCGCUGCUAGCAUUUGUGUACGUAAACGAGCUAUUUUUUUCAGUUACCAAAAAUACCUAAUUUGGAAGCUCAAUUAUGAAAUGUUUGGAAUUGUUUUGUCGUUUUUAAGCCUCUAGUUUUCUUCCUGUAUUUUAUUUAACUUGCAAAAUUUAUUUAUAAGGAUAUUUCAAUUUUGCUCCAUGGAUCGAAGCAUCAAUCGGAGGAGAAAAUUUCGAGUCUAUGUUUUGUGUUAUUAAUGAUAUUGUUACUGACUUGCAUAUGUAACCGUGGAGUUGAUUUUUUAAUGAAUUUGUGAAACUAAUGUAUAUUGUGUUGUAAAUUCACAUUGCGUGAUUUGGUUUUCUUGAAGACUUAUGCAUAAGACAUAUAAUCAAGUAACAAUGAGUUUCAGUUUGCCACCACUUGUUCCAAAACCUACUGUCAACGAGUAGUUCAAUAUACAUGAUAACAAUUAUGGUAUACCGAAUCCAUUGGUUUUAGGCAGCAACCAGGCAACAGGUUAUGCACCUCUAUUGGAAGCAUCAGAAAAAAAUGUAAGA